rnacentral:sRNA from 1 species
CUUCCGGGGCGGAAAUGCCGCACACGCAUCGACACAUGUGUCUGGGUGCCUCGAAAGGGGUUGACGCAUGGGAUGUGUGGAGGACUAAC